CUGUGACUAGUUCUGAAGAGUUUGUGUUAGGGAAAUAGGAGACCAGAAAAGGUUUGCUUUUGCAUUAAGUGAUAAAUUUAGUAACACUGGGAAGGCUGAUUUAGUCUUAUCUGUGUUCUCUUUCUUUUAAGCUGAUUAUGCAUAAUCUCUGGAGAAGACUGAUGGAAACCUUCAUCUAGAAUUCUGUAACAUCAGUAAAACCAUCCAGGAACAAUGGUUUCAGAGAGAAGAUUGAUACUUCCUUCAAGAAAACAUUAUGAACCCAGUCCAGUCUUUUUGCACUGAAUUAUGUAUGGAGUCACCACAAUUGCAAGUAUCAGUCAAUGCCUACACAGAAAUGCAAGGCUAGACAAGUAAUGGCUUUAGACUCCCUCGCAGUGAAUGUGGCGAGAGACCAGGGAAGCAGACACGCUACUAACA
rnacentral:lncRNA from 1 species